rnacentral:rRNA from 1 species
GAUGAACGCUGGCGGCGUGCCUAAUACAUGCAAGUCGAGCGAACAGACGAGGAGCUUGCUCCUCUGACGUUAGCGGCGGACGGGUGAGUGACACGUGGAUAACCUACCUAUAAGACUGGGAUAACUUCGGGAAACCGGAGCUAAUACCGGAUAAUAUAUUGAGCCGCAUGGUUCAAUAGUGAAAGACGGUUUUGCUGUCACUUAUAGAUGGAUCCGCGCCGCAUUAGCUAGUUGGUAAGGUAACGGCUUACCAAGGCGACGAUGCGUAGCCGACCUGAGAGGGUGAUCGGCCACACUGGAACUGAGACACGGUCCAGACUCCUACGGGAGGCAGCAGUAGGGAAUCUUCCGCAAUGGGCGAAAGCCUGACGGAGCAACGCCGCGUGAGUGAUGAAGGUCUUCGGAUCGUAAAACUCUGUUAUUAGGGAAGAACAAAUGUGUAAGUAACUAUGCACGUCUUGACGGUACCUAAUCAGAAAGCCACGGCUAACUACGUG